GACGAACGCUGGCGGCGUGCUUAACACAUGCAAGUCGAACGGAAAGGCCCUGCUUUUGUGGGGUGCUCGAGUGGCGAACGGGUGAGUAACACGUGAGUAACCUGCCCUUGACUUUGGGAUAACUUCAGGAAACUGGGGCUAAUACCGGAUAGGAGCUCCUGCCGCAUGGUGGGGGUUGGAAAGUUUCGGCGGUUGGGGAUGGACUCGCGGCUUAUCAGCUUGUUGGUGGGGUAGUGGCUUACCAAGGCUUUGACGGGUAGCCGGCCUGAGAGGGUGACCGGCCACAUUGGGACUGGGAUACGGCCCAGACUCCUACGGGAGGCAGCAGUGGGGAAUAUUGCACAAUGGGCGGAAGCCUGAUGCAGCAACGCCGCGUGCGGGAUGACGGCCUUCGGGUUGUAAUCCGCUUUCGCCUGUGACGAGGCGUGAGUGACGGUAAUGGGUAAAGAAGCACCGGCUAACUACGUG
rnacentral:rRNA from 1 species